UAGUCAAGCAGAAUAAAUUUCGAAGUAAAAUAAUAUCUGAUACUUGCUAAGAGAAAGCACACUUAGAUAAAUAGGUAUCUACUUAUUCACGUUUUAAACUCAUGUCCGUAACGUUUAGUUGAACCAGGCUCCGUUUGAGUUGAACUUACAUCAGAAAUAUCAUAAUGGGCUCUAAAGCGUAUUGGUCUGGCGGGGGUGGCGCAAACAAUAAUUCUCAAUACGGCAGCAUUGGAUUUCAAAAUCCCAAUGGUUCUGGUGGUAGAUUGACAUACCAGCAUCAUAACAAUUCUGGUCAUUCAACCAGGGUGCAAGGAAAAAUUCCAGUUUACUCAUUCGGGAACGAACAUUGCAAAUCCACAAUUAAUGUUGGUACCACAGUCGACCAUUUUUCUGGAAGAGGACGAACAAUGACAUCAGUAAAUGGAGUUGAUAUCGAUAUUAAUUUUCAACAUAAGUAGUUCGAUUUCAGGAAAGAAGAUUUCAAAAUAAGUCGUUUAUAUCUAACGUAACUUUUGCAUAGUACCGGGUGGUGCAUCGUCGUUGGAAACAUAGGAAAUCCCAUUCAAAUUUUCUCCAUGAUUUUAUAGCGAAGUCGUAAAUCAAUGACUAAAGAAUAUAAGGACAUUGAUUGUUACCUAUUCAGUUUUAAUUUAAAAAUUGAUUCUGUUUUUUUCAAAUUACUCAAAAUUGGCUUGUCCAAAAUUGUUCAGAUUCAUCAGAAAAAAAAACUAUUUACGACUUCACUAUAAAAUCAAUAGCGGAGUCAAUAUCUGGACAGUUCAAAAUUUGCAUGGGAUUUCCUAUGUUUCCAACGACGAUGCACGAUGCACCACCCGGUAUAUGUAUAAAUAUGAAAAUAUAUAUUCUUAUUUCUUUUGUAUACGCUAGUCAAGACAAUCAUUGCGAUUAUUUUUUUAAUAUUUUUUUAAAUACAAAUAUCAAAAUCAGUUGGUAUGGCUAGAAUUAGAGCUGGAUUAUUAACUACUAAUUUUAUGAUUAAAUCGUUUUUAACUACUAUUAGAAGAGUAAUACAAUAUAAUAAGUU